ACUGCCUGGAGCCCGGCUCCACCUGCUGCUCUGUCUCCUGGCUUAGCCUCAGUCCGCGUGCACAGCGGUGUGAGAGGCACCUGUCCCUGCCGUGAGGAUCCCAUGGGAAGAUGCUAAAGCCCCCUGGACAAUGGCUGACACAUGCUUCUGUGCCCCAUAAAUGUCCCCCAUCCCCAGUGCAGAGCAGAAGAUGAUCGGCGAGCUAAUGGCCGCAGCCUGAUUCCCAUCUCCUUCAGAUUCCCAUACCUCAGCUCCUCACAGACAGCUUGAGCAGACCAAGCUUGGACCUCAGAACCAAGGAAGAUGAGGGAGGCUCAGCAUUCUACAGGAUUGCGCAUAUCCAUGUAGUAGAUGUCACCAACCUCAAGAGUCGUGCGGAUGCCGAUUGCUUCAUGCCAUUGCAGCGGACAGAGUCCCCGUGUUUCAGCUGGGCCCAAACAUCCUUGCGAGGUCACCUCGCAGUUAAGGGUGUUCACAUGACUGAACCCUGGACGAUAAGUGGCCACUGGAAGCCGAGUCUGCACUACUGGGCUCCCCACUCCUGAACAGAUGGUCUGGGCAGUGAGAGGGCUCAGGUCAAAGCUGCUGCUACCACUGACAACCUGGCUUGAUCCCUGGGGCCCACACAGUGGAAGGAGAGAGCCACCUCACGUACGUUGACCUCUGACCGCUACAUGCCCAUGUUAUGUGUGACCAAACACAUACACACACAAUAA